rnacentral:lncRNA from 1 species
AUGCAAUGUUUUGCAACAAAGAAAAAUUUAAAAAUUCCAAUAGUUUCUCGCAAAACCAAUAAUUGGAUAAUCUUUUCAUGCAACACCCACCUCUCAAAAAUAUAUCUGUUAGCAUUUAUAUGGCUCAAGACCUUCUCCUAUCAACCAAUCAGCUCACGCUACAUUUUAAGAUGGAUUUAAAACGAACUGACUCAAGUAUAACACCACAAAAAGGUUAU